CACGAAUGCGGAAGGGCUUAUAAUUCCAAAAAAAAAGCCUUCUGUGCCACGAAAAAGGCCACAGAAAUCUUGGACCUUACAUGUAUAACUGCGGCGAGCGGUCUUUUCCGGACUACAUUUCUGUGCGGAAAGCUAUUCCAGACUGGCGGCCAUGACAGAUGUGGGUUGGAAAUCAUAAAGAGUGACUGUGUACUUUGAUAUGUAGCAAAGAAGUUCAUUGUUGAUGAUAGUGUUCCUUUAUUAUUUAUUGAAUACGAUCAGAAAUACAGAGCUCUCAAUGCUGUAAA